CGGUUGCUGCCUGGUGCGUUAGGCCACGCAAAUCCCUGGGGCUAUACUCCAUUAUCCUUGGGAGCUGCCUCUGUCGAGAUUGCGGUCUCGGUAUUGCGGCGCCCACCUGCAAGAGCAGGCACCAGAGGAUCGCAUGGAUGCCGACGGCCAAGGUGGCUCCGUC
rnacentral:other from 2 species